AUGAACGCUAGCUACAGGCUUAACACAUGCAAGUCGAGGGGCAGCAUGGUCUUAGCUUGCUAAGGCCGAUGGCGACCGGCGCACGGGUGAGUAACACGUAUCCAACCUGCCGUCUACUCUUGGACAGCCUUCUGAAAGGAAGAUUAAUACAAGAUGGCAUCAUGAGUCCGCAUGUUCACAUGAUUAAAGGUAUUCCGGUAGACGAUGGGGAUGCGUUCCAUUAGAUAGUAGGCGGGGUAACGGCCCACCUAGUCUUCGAUGGAUAGGGGUUCUGAGAGGAAGGUCCCCCACAUUGGAACUGAGACACGGUCCAAACUCCUACGGGAGGCAGCAGUGAGGAAUAUUGGUCAAUGGGCGAGAGCCUGAACCAGCCAAGUAGCGUGAAGGAUGACUGCCCUAUGGGUUGUAAACUUCUUUUAUAAAGGAAUAAAGUCGGGUAUGGAUACCCGUUUGCAUGUACUUUAUGAAUAAGGAUCGGCUAACUCCGUGCCAGCAGCCGCGGUAAUACGGAGGAUCCGAGCGUUAUCCGGAUUUAUUGGGUUUAAAGGGAGCGUAGAUGGAUGUUUAAGUCAGUUGUGAAAGUUUGCGGCUCAACCGUAAAAUUGCAGUUGAUACUGGAUAUCUUGAGUGCAGUUGAGGCAGGCGGAAUUCGUGGUGUAGCGGUGAAAUGCUUAGAUAUCACGAAGAACUCCGAUUGCGAAGGCAGCCUGCUAAGCUGCAACUGACAUUGAGGCUCGAAAGUGUGGGUAUCAAACAGGAUUAGAUACCCUGGUAGUCCACACUGUAAACGAUGAAUACUCGCUGUUUGCGAUAUACAGCAAGCGGCCAAGCGAAAGCGUUAAGUAUUCCACCUGGGGAGUACGCCGGCAACGGUGAAACUCAAAGGAAUUGACGGGGGCCCGCACAAGCGGAGGAACAUGUGGUUUAAUUCGAUGAUACGCGAGGAACCUUACCCGGGCUUAAAUUGCAGAUGAAUUACGGUGAAAGCCGUAAGCCGCAAGGCAUCUGUGAAGGUGCUGCAUGGUUGUCGUCAGCUCGUGCCGUGAGGUGUCGGCUUAAGUGCCAUAACGAGCGCAACCCUUGUUGUCAGUUACUAACAGGUUCCGCUGAGGACUCCGACAAGACUGCCAUCGUAAGAUGUGAGGAAGGUGGGGAUGACGUCAAAUCAGCACGGCCCUUACGUCCGGGGCUACACACGUGUUACAAUGGGGGGUACAGAGGGCCGCUACCACGCGAGUGGAUGCCAAUCCCCAAAACCUCUCUCAGUUCGGACUGGAGUCUGCAACCCGACUCCACGAAGCUGGAUUCGCUAGUAAUCGCGCAUCAGCCACGGCGCGGUGAAUACGUUCCCGGGCCUUGUACACACCGCCCGUCAAGCCAUGGGAGCCGGGGGUACCUGAAGUGCGUAACCGCGAGGAGCGCCCUAGGGUAAAACUGGUGACUGGGGCU
rnacentral:rRNA from 1 species